rnacentral:rRNA from 1 species
AUUGAACGCUGGCGGCAUGCCUUACACAUGCAAGUCGAACGGCAGCGGGCCUUCGGGUGCCGGCGAGUGGCGAACGGGUGAGUAAUGCAUCGGAACGUGCCAUUGAGUGGGGGAUAACGUAGCGAAAGUUACGCUAAUACCGCAUAUUCUGUGAGCAGGAAAGCAGGGGACCGCAAGGCCUUGCGCUCUUUGAGCGGCCGAUGUCAGAUUAGCUAGUUGGUGAGGUAAAGGCUUACCAAGGCGACGAUCUGUAGCGGGUCUGAGAGGAUGAUCCGCCACACUGGAACUGAGACACGGUCCAGACUCCUACGGGAGGCAGCAGUGGGGAAUUUUGGACAAUGGGCGCAAGCCUGAUCCAGCCAUGCCGCGUGA